rnacentral:rRNA from 1 species
AUGACGACGGAGCCAACAGAGGACAUCGAGUUCCUUUGGAAGUGGGGCAAGUACCCGCUUCUCCUAGCCACGCUGGUCGCUAGCGUCAGCUACGUGGCCGGCCUCAACCCGCUGGGCGGCAUCAGGCCCAAGGAUGGAGGCAACACCCUAGAGUACCGCGUCCGCGCUGUCCGGCCGUACCUGCCGGCGCCUGUAGCGCCGGCACCCGCGGUCUACCCGUUUCGCGUCGGCGACCCGGUGCUCGUGCACACCUACUCGUGUCGGUACAUCGCUUUCUUCUACUGCAACGCGACCCCCUUCGUGGCGUCGCUGGUCAUCAUCAUGUUCCUGCUGGACUAG